rnacentral:rRNA from 1 species
CUGCUUUGCUGACGAGUGGCGGACGGGUGAGUAAUGUCUGGGAAACUGCCUGAUGGAGGGGGAUAACUACUGGAAACGGUAGCUAAUACCGCAUAACGUCGCAAGACCAAAGAGGGGGACCUUCGGGCCUCUUGCCAUCGGAUGUGCCCAGAUGGGAUUAGCUAGUAGGUGGGGUAAUGGCUCACCUAGGCGACGAUCCCUAGCUGGUCUGAGAGGAUGACCAGCCACACUGGAACUGAGACACGGUCCAGACUCCUACGGGAGGCAGCAGUGGGGAAUAUUGCACAAUGGGCGCAAGCCUGAUGCAGCCAUGCCGCGUGUAUGAAGAAGGCCUUCGGGUUGUAAAGUACUUUCAGCGAGGAGGAAGGUGUUGUGGUUAAUAACCACAGCAAUUGACGUUACUCGCAGAAGAAGCACCGGCUAACUCCGUGCCAGCAGCCGCGGUAAUACGGAGGGUGCAAGCGUUAAUCGGAAUUACUGGGCGUAAAGCGCACGCAGGCGGUUUGUUAAGUCAGAUGUGAAAUCCCCGGGCUCAACCUGGGAACUGCAUUUGAAACUGGCAAGCUUGAGUCUCGU